CCCAGAGGCGCAAAGAAAAAAACACUGAGGUGACGCCGACGCCUGUUUCACGGGAGGCGGAUCGAGGCCAAGAAAGAAGAAAAAAAAGAAAAACGCCUCAGAGACAGGACAGACAGACACACAGAGAGAGAGAGAGAGAGAGAGAGAGAGAGAGAGAGAGAGGUGUGGGCUCGGCUUUGAUUAGCGGAGAUGUGGAGACGGGCGGCGUUCUUUUUCCACAUGGAUCUCCUGUUCUUCUUCUUCUUCUUCCACCAGCUCCUUGCACCACCAGUGGAUACCAAAUGGCUUGAAGUUUGUGGAACUCUUUACUACAGAAAUUGUGAAGUUGGUAUAUUUGUAUAUUCAAGAUAUUGUUUUCUGGCAAAAGAGGGUGCCUCUAAUCAAAGAAGUCCUUUUAUAACUUUUGUCUUGGGUGGUCCUGGGAGUGGCAAAGGGACGCAAUGUGUAAAAAUCGCAGAAACCUUUGGAUUUGCACAUCUAAGUGCUGGUGACCUGUUGAGAAAGGAAAUGUCCUCUGAUAAUGAAAACAGAGCAAUGAUCUGGGACAUAAUCAAGGAAGGAAAGAUUGUUCCAUCAGAAAUAACAGUCAAUUUGAUCCGCAGAGCAAUUGAAUCAAGCAAGAACCAUAAAAUUCUAAUUGAUGGUUUUCCUCGGAGUGAUGAAAAUCGAAUUGCUUUUGAACGAAUAGUUGGAGUAGAACCAGACCUUGUUCUCUUCUUUGACUGCCCAGAGGAGGAAAUGGUGAAACGAGUGCUAAACCGUAAUCAGGGGAGAAUUGAUGAUAAUAUUGAGACGAUAAAGAAACGACUUAAAGUGUUUGAGAAAUUAAAUCUUCCUGUUAUUAACCAUUACUCUGCAAAGGGAAAAGUUUACAAGCUGUAACUAUAAUGAAUAUCAUGCCUGCAGAUCAAUGCAGAGGGAACUGCGGAUGAGAUUUUUGAAAAAGUUCGUCCCCUGUUUGCUUCCUUAAGCAUCUGAUGAAUAUGAAAGAUUAUGAGGACUCCAAGAAAUGGUGAGGGAAAAGCAGGAGGUUGGCCCUAAUUUUUGUUUGGGGAUUCCCCUCCUUGUGUGCUGCAUGCUCAUCUUUUUCCUGUAGCGGAACAAGUGACAAUAAAUGGGUUUAAUCCCGUUUCGUGUCCUCUCUUCUUCCUCUUGUUUUUUUUUUUUUUUUGGCCUUUUCCUUUUGGGGGUCGGGGCGGGGAGGGGAGGCGCUACUUUUUGCAUUGCGAAUUGUACAAUAUUAACCCUUUGAAAUUCCAUUAAUGCCCUAGAACACUUGAACUCUGUGUAAUAGGAUGUGAUUGGAGAAGCACAAAAAGGAUGGUAAGCGCUAAAAGCAUAUUGUCUAAGACAUUAUUCUAAUGGUGCAUUUAGUAGAGAACAAUAUGGAGAAAAUUUUUAGUGUUUCUGUUGCUUUUGUGCGCUACCAUUUACAUUGUAGUUUUGCUGCGGGAAGUGUUAAGAGAGAUCUUAUUGUUACUAAACAAUAAGAGUUUAUCUUAUUGUUUAAGUAUUUAUCUUGAUGUGAUUUGCUGUAGUUUCCAAUUCCUGAGUGUUUAGCUUGUUACUUGAAUUAAUCAGAGUUUUAGAGCCCUUCAUUCAUGUUAAUUCUGAUCAGUUUAUUUCACAUUCUGUAUAGUUUAAGUAUGCCUCUGAGGCCGGAUAAAAUUUUAAAAUCCAUCAAAUUUAUCCCAAAAUUGAUAAUAAAUCAAUAAAAUAUUGAUGUCUAAACUCACUUUAGUUUCUCUAAUCAAAUGUAUUUGUUUGCACUGAAGAUCAACAAUCCUAAUGUUUAGUCUGUAACAAACAUGAAAGGCUUACAAGUUGUGUACUUCUCAACUGAUAGCAUAUUAUAUCUGGCUGAUUUGGUGCAAUUGAUUGCAUAUACGUUCACUUGAUAAAAGCUCUGUAAUUUGUUGUGCUAGUUUUUACUUGAAAAUUUCGUACCUUUCAUGUAGGGCCUUUUUUAAGAAACUAUAAAUAUCUGUUGUCUUAUUUUUGGUAUAGGAAAAAAUAAUCACAUGAUUUUAGUAAGGAUUAUGAGUAAUUUAAUAGAUGUUACUUACUUUGAAUGACUUGUUCUUGCGUCCUUGCACAGCAUCUGAUGAAUAUGAAAGAUUAUGAGGACUCCAAGAAAUGGUGAGGGAAAAGCAGGAGGUUGGCCCUAAUUUUUGUUUGGGGAUUCCCCUCCUUGUGUGCUGCAUGCUCAUCUUUUUCCUGUAGCGGAACAAGUGACAAUAAAUGGGUUUAAUCCCGUUUCGUGUCCUCUCUUCUUCCUCUUGUUUUUUUUUUUUUUUGGCCUUUUCCUUUUGGGGGUCGGGGCGGGGAGGGGAGGCGCUACUUUUUGCAUUGCGAAUUGUACAAUAUUAACCCUUUGAAAUUCCAUUAAUGCCCUAGAACACUUGAACUCUGUGUAAUAGGAUGUGAUUGGAGAAGCACAAAAAGGAUGGUAAGCGCUAAAAGCAUAUUGUCUAAGACAUUAUUCUAAUGGUGCAUUUAGUAGAGAACAAUAUGGAGAAAAUUUUUAGUGUUUCUGUUGCUUUUGUGCGCUACCAUUUACAUUGUAGUUUUGCUGCGGGAAGUGUUAAGAGAGAUCUUAUUGUUACUAAACAAUAAGAGUUUAUCUUAUUGUUUAAGUAUUUAUCUUGAUGUGAUUUGCUGUAGUUUCCAA